GAUGAACGCUGGCGGCGUGCCUAAUACAUGCAAGUCGAGCGAACAGACGAGGAGCUUGCUCCUCUGAUGUUAGCGGCGGACGGGUGAGUAACACGUGGAUAACCUACCUAUAAGACUGGGAUAACUUCGGGAAACCGGAGCUAAUACCAGAUAACAUGUUGAACCGCAUGGUUCAACAGUGAAAGACGGUCUUGCUGUCACUUAUAGAUGGAUCCGCGCCGCAUUAGCUAGUUGGUAAGGUAACGGCUUACCAAGGCAACGUUGCGUAGCCGACCUGAGAGGGUGAGGCACCAAAAUGGAAAUAAAAAAGGGUCCAAAUCCCAAAGGGGGGCAGCAGUAGGAAGUUUUCCGGAAUGGGGGAAGGCCGGAAGGAGCAACGCCGGGGGAGGAAAGAAAGAUUUCGGAUCGUAAAACUAGGUUAUGAGGGAAGAAGAAAAGGGUAAGUAACAGUGCGCGUCUGGACGGUCCCAAUGCAGAAAGCAAGGGAGAACCGGGA
rnacentral:rRNA from 1 species